rnacentral:rRNA from 1 species
GAUGAACGCUGGCGGCGUGCCUAAUACAUGCAAGUCGAGCGAAGCGGGGACGGGUGAGUACCACGUGGAUAACUUUCUAUAAGACUGGGAUAACUUCGGGAAACCGGAGCUAAACCGGAUACUUUUUGAUGGCUCCGCGCUGCAUUAGCUAGUUGGUAAGGUAACGGCUUACCAAGGCAACGAUGCAUAGCCGACCUGAGAGAGUGAUCAGCCACACUGGAACUGAGACACGGUCCAGACUCCUACGGGAGGCAGCAGUAGGGAAUCUUCCGCAAUGGUCGAAAGCCUGACGGGGCAACGCCGCGUGAGUGUUGAAGGUCUUCGGAUCGUAAAACUCUGUGAUUAAGGAAGCGGUACCUAAUCUGGAAGCCACGGCUAACUACGUGCCAGCAGCCGCGGUAAUAC